AUGGUUGUCGUCAGCUCGUGUCGUGAGAUGUUGGGUUAAGUCCCGCAACGAGCGCAACCCUCGACCUUAGUUGCCAGCAUUCAGUUGGCACUCUAAGGUGACUGCCGGCUAAAAGUCGGAGGAAGGUGGGAUGACGUCAAAUCAUCAUGCCCCUUAUGACCUGGGCUACACACGUGCUACAAUGGGCGGUACAAAGGGUCGCGAACCCGCGAGGGGGAGCCAAUCCCAAAAAGCCGCUCUCAGUUCGGAUUGCAGGCUGCAACUCGCCUGCAUGAAGCCGGAAUCGCUAGUAAUCGCGGAUCAGCAUGCCCGCGGUGAAUACGUUCCCGGGCCUU
rnacentral:rRNA from 1 species